rnacentral:rRNA from 1 species
UAACGAAUCUUCCGCAAUGCACGAAAGUGUGACGGAGCGACGCCGCGUGGAGGACGAAGUUCUUCGGAAUGUAAACUCCUGUCAGGGGAAAGAAAGUUCUGAUCUACCCCAGAGGAAGAGGCGGCUAACUCUGUGCCAGCGGCCGCGGUAAUACAGAGGCCUCGAGCGUUAGACGGAAUCACUGGGCUUAAAGCGUGUGUAGGCGGAAGGGUAAGUACCUUGUGAAAUCCCACGGCUUAACCGUGGAACGGCUUGGUAUACUGCUUUUCUUGAGCAAUCUAGGGGCGAGUGGAACAGAUGGUGGAGCGGUGAAAUGCGUAGAUAUCAUCUGGAACGCCAAUGGUGAAGACAACUCGCUGGGGAUUUGCCGACGCUGAGACACGAAAGCCAGGGGAGCGAACGGGAUUAGAUACCCCCGUAGUCCCUGAGCGGGCUGGCAAGGCGCAU